AGGAUUACAGACAUGUGCCACCUUGCCCAGAUUGAAAUCAAGUACUUUUCACAAACUUUUACAUGGCAGAAUCUGACCCGAAGCAUCUAUACCAUUAAGUGAUUGCUUCGUACAUCUAUUUGGGAUCAGAAGAGCGGGCUGUGGCUGUUCCCUGCUUGGGGAAAUGAGGCACCGACCCUAACUCUUCAUGCCCCAGACCUGCCCUUGAGCUGUUCUACAAGGUCUUCUGUGUGAGGACAUCCGGACCAUCCACCCAGCACUCUGGCCUGGUUCCAGAACAUUCUGUUCGUGAGACUGGCCACACCCAGGGAGAGCCAAGAGCAGUGUGGGAGAUGGAAGGGGGAGGAAUGCUGAGCAAGGUAGCACAGCCAUGGAUGUGGAACGCAGACUUCGUGCCUCGAUGACUUCCUCUAAUGACUUCCAGCCACACCCUCCACCACCAACUGAA